rnacentral:rRNA from 1 species
GUCCUACGGUCUGCAUCAUUUAUUAAUAUUUUUCAAUUUGCUUUAUCCUUAACCAGCCAAGUCGCGUGAGGGAAGACGGUCCUAUGGAUUGUAAACCUCUUUAGGCGGGGAGCAAUGCCGGGCACGCGUGCCCGGAGGGAGAGUACCCGCAGAAUAAGCAUCGGCUAACUCCGUGCCAGCAGCCGCGGUAAUACGGAGGAUGCGAGCGUUAUCCGGAUUUAUUGGGUUUAAAGGGUGCGUAAGCGGAUUUUUAAGUCAGCGGUAAAAUGUCCGGGCUCAACCCGGGCCGGCCGUUGAAACUGGGG